GAGUUUGAUCGUGGCUCAGGAUGAACGCUGGCGGCGUGCCUAAUACAUGCAAGUCGAGCGAACGGACGAGAAGCUUGCUUCUCUGAUGUUAGCGGCGGACGGGUGAGUAACACGUGGAUAACCUACCUAUAAGACUGGGAUAACUUCGGGGAAACCGGAGCUAAUACCGGAUAAUAUUUUGAACCGCAUGGUUCAAAAGUGAAAGACGGUCUUGCUGUCACUUAUAGAUGGAUCCGCGCUGCAUUAGCUAGUUGGUAAGGUAACGGCUUACCAAGGCAACGAUGCAUAGCCGACCUGAGAGGGUGAUCGGCCACACUGGAACUGAGACACGGUCCAGACUCCUACGGGAGGCAGCAGUAGGGAAUCUUCCGCAAUGGGCGAAAGCCUGACGGAGCAACGCCGCGUGAGUGAUGAAGGUCUUCGGAUCGUAAAACUCUGUUAUUAGGGAAGACAUAUGUGUAAGUAACUGUGCACAUCUUGACGGUUACCAAUCAGAAGGCCACGGCUAACUACGUCG
rnacentral:rRNA from 1 species